rnacentral:rRNA from 1 species
AAACAUGGCUCUUUGAAUAUUACAUAUAAAGAGUCGGACCUGCCCAGUGAUAUAAUACAUUUAACGGCCGCAGUACCCUGACUGUGCAAAGGUAGCAUAAUCAUUUGCCCUAUAAUUGAGGGCUAGUAUGAAUGGUUUGACAAGAACAUGACUGUCUCUUGUGGGAUAAAUAGAAAUUAAAUUUUAGGUGAAGAUGCCUAAAUAUAACUAAAAGACGAGAAGACCCUGUUGAGCUUUAAAAACUCCAAGGACACCUAAAGAGUUUUUUUGGUUGGGGCGACCUAGGAACAUAUAAAGCUUCUUUUAUUAUUUGAAACAUCUAGUUAUGAUCCAGUAAAACUGACUAAUAAAAUAAGCUACCACAGGGAUAACAGCGUAAUUCUCUCUAAGAGUUCACAUUAAAGAGUGAGUUUGCGACCUCGAUGUUGGACUAAAAUAUCCUGAAGGUGCAGACGCCUUUAAGGGUUGGUCUGUUCGACCAUUAAAAUUUUA